rnacentral:rRNA from 1 species
AACGAACGCUGGCGGCAGGCUUAACACAUGCAAGUCGAGCGCCCCGCAAGGGGAGCGGCAGACGGGUGAGUAACGCGUGGGAAUCUACCCAUCUCUACGGAAUAACGCAUGGAAACGUGUGCUAAUACCGUAUACGUCCUUCGGGAGAGAGAUUUAUCGGAGAUGGAUGAGCCCGCGUUGGAUUAGCUAGUUGGUGGGGUAAGGGCCUACCAAGGCGACGAUCCAUAGCUGGUCUGAGAGGAUGGUCAGCCACACUGGGACUGAGACACGGCCCAGAAUCCUACGGGAGGGAGCAGUGGGGAAUAUUGGACAAUGGGCGCAAGCCUGAUCCAGCCAUGCCGCGAGAGUGAUGAAGGCCCUAGGGUUGUAAAGCUCUUUCACCGGUGAAGAUAAUGACGGUAACCGGAGAAGAAGCCCCGGCUAACUUCGUGCCAGCCGCCGCGGUAAAAC